AUUGAACGCUUGCGGCAGGCCUAACACAUGCAAGUCGAACGAGUGGCGGACGGGUGAGCAAUUUCUGGGAAACUGCCUGACGGAGGGGGACAAUUACCGGAAACGGCAGCUAAUACCGCUUACCUUCGUUCGUGCCCAGAUGGGAUUAGGUAGUAGGUGGGCGAACGGCUUACCUAGGCGACGAACCCUAGCUGGUCUGAGAGGAUGACGAGCCACGCUGGAGCUGAGCACCGGUCCAGACUCCUACGGGAGGCGGAGGUGGGGAAUAUUGCAUAAUGGGCGCAAGCCUGGUGAAGGCGUGCCGCGAGUAUGAAGAAGGCCUUCGGGUUGUAAAGUACUUUCAGCGAGGAGGCGUUACUCGCAGAAGAAGCACCGGCUAACUCCGUGCCAGCAGCCGCGGUAAUUC
rnacentral:rRNA from 1 species